AAACCGUGCGGCAAAACCCGAAAAAUGGUUCCAAUCGUUUUCCACCAUUCAUUUUUCCGUAGCGGGUUUUAGAACUACCUCAUGCAAGGUCUGUGUUUCGUGUAGGCUUACCCAGGCAUGACGUUUUGUUAACCGUGCAAAUCUCUAUGGGACAAGGUGCAGGGUGAGGAAAAACAUCAAUUUCUCCAUGCAAACUCAUCAACAAAAGCCAUGGAUUACAGGAAGGAUCCGCACUGAGCUAAAGGCUAGAG